UACGUAGGGGGCAAGCGUUGUCCGGAUUUAUUGGGCGUAAAGCGCACGCAGGCGGUCAUGAACGUUCUGAGUGACAGGUGGUGGCUCAACUGCCACAGGUUUCGGAAAACGGCAUGACUUGAGGACUUCAGAGGGACGCGGAAUUCCAGGUGGAGCGGUGAAAUGCGUAGAGAUCUGGAAGAACACCAGUGGCGAAGGCGACUCUCUGGUCUGUAAC
rnacentral:rRNA from 1 species